rnacentral:tRNA from 1 species
CAGUGCGUGGCCGAAUGGUUACGCUGUCCGUUUUGUAAGCGGAUGAUUCUGGGUUCGAUUCCCAUCUGCUGA